UGAGGAAUAUUGGUCAAUGGGCGAGAGCCUGAACCAGCCAAGUCGCGUGAAGGAUGACGGCCCUAUGGGUUGUAAACUUCUUUUGCAGGGGAAUAAAGAUAUUCACGUGUGGGUAGUUGUAUGUACCCUGCGAAUAAGCAUCGGCUAACUCCGUGCCAGCAGCCGCGGUAAUACGGAGGAUGCGAGCGUUAUCCGGAUUUAUUGGGUUUAAAGGGUGCGUAGGUGGGCUAUUAAGUCAGUGGUGAAAGUUUGUCGCUCAACGAUAAAAUUGCCGUUGAAACUGGUGGUCUUGAGUAUGGAUGAAGUAGGCGGAAUGCGUGGUGUAGCGGUGAAAUGCAUAGAGAUCACGCAGAACUCCGAUUGCGAAGGCAGCUUACUAAGGCAUAACUGACACUGAAGCACGAAAGCGUGGGUAUCAAACA
rnacentral:rRNA from 1 species